CAGUGUCAGGUGAAAGGAUCACUUGCUCGAUCGACAUCCUUCGGGUUACGUAGUUAGGGUUGAAGAGUCGUUUGAUUGUCGAAUUCUUCCAUUUUGGAGAACCGAUUCAUUUUCAUUCGGCGAGAAGUUGAAGAAUUUGAAGAAGAAGAUCCACUUAAGAUCUUAAUGUAUUAUUGAUAUAAAUAUUUACGAACGAAGAUGGACGUUACGUGGAAAAAUUCGACGGUAGGUGUCAUUUUUGUCCAGGAAAAAUGAAAAAGCCGUUACAUAUGAAUUUUCAGUUGCGUAAAUAAA
rnacentral:misc_RNA from 1 species